rnacentral:rRNA from 1 species
CAGUCGCCGCGGGAAUACGAAGGGUGCAAGCGUUAAUCGGAAUUACUGGGCGUAAAGCGUGCGUAGGCGGUUUGUUAAGUCUGCUGUGAAAUCCCCGGGCUCAACCUGGGAAUGGCAGUGGAUACUGGCAAGCUAGAGUGUGUCAGAGGAUGGUGGAAUUCCCGGUGUAGCGGUGAAAUGCGUAGAGAUCGGGAGGAACACCAGUGGCGAAGGCGGCCAUCUGGGACAACACUGACGCUGAGGUACGAAAGCGUGGGGAGCAAACAGGAUUAGAUACCCCGGUAGUCCCUGUCUCUUAUAC